rnacentral:rRNA from 1 species
CCUACGGGUGGCUGCAGUGAGGAAUAUUGGUCAAUGGACGAGAGUCUGAACCAGCCAAGUAGCGUGAAGGAUGACUGCCCUAUGGGUUGUAAACUUCUUUUAUAUGGGAAUAAAAUGUUCCACGUGUGGGCUUUUGUAUGUACCAUAUGAAUAAGGAUCGGCUAACUCCGUGCCAGCAGCCGCGGUAAUACGGAGGGUCCGAGCGUUAUCCGGAUUUAUUGGGUUUAAAGGGAGCGUAGGUGGAUUGUUAAGUCAGUUGUGAAAGUUUGCGGCUCAACCGUAAAAUUGCAGUUGAAACUGGUAGGCUUGAGUACAGUAGAGGUGGGCGGAAUUCGAGGUGUAGCGGUGAAAUGCGUAGAUAUCACGAAGAACUCCGAUUGCGAAGGCAGCUCACUGGACUGAAACUGACACUGAGGCUCGAAAGUGUGGGUAUCAAACAGGAUUAGAUACCCUUGUAGUC